UGCAGUCGAGCGGAUGACGGGGAGCUUGCUCCCCUGAUUCAGCGGCGGACGGGUGAGUAACACGUGGGCAACCUGCCUGUAAGAUCGGGAUAACUCCGGGAAACCGGGGCUAAUACCGGAUGGUUCCUUCCUCCGCAUGGAGGAAGGCGGAAAGACGGUUUCGGCUGUCACUUACAGAUGGGCCCGCGGCGCAUUAGCUAGUUGGUGGGGUAAUGGCCCACCAAGGCAACGAUGCGUAGCCGACCUGAGAGGGUGAUCGGCCACACUGGGACUGAGACACGGCCCAGACUCCUACGGGAGGCAGCAGUAGGGAAUCUUCCGCAAUGGACGAAAGUCUGACGGAGCAACGCCGCGUGAGCGAAGAAGGCCUUCGGGUCGUAAAGCUCUGUUGUAAGGGAAGAACAAGCGCCGGUUAACUGCCGGCGCCCUGACGGUACCUUACCAGAAAGCCACGGCUAACUACGUGCCAGCAGCCGCGGUAAUACGUAGGUGGCAAGCGUUGUCCGGAAUCAUUGGGCGUAAAGCGCGCGCAGGCGGUUUCUUAAGUCUGAUGUGAAAGCCCACGGCUCAACCGUGGAGGGUCAUUGGAAACUGGGAGACUUGAGUGCAGAAGAGGAAAGCGGAAUUCCACGUGUAGCGGUGAAAUGCGUAGAGAUGUGGAGGAACACCAGUGGCGAAGGCGGCUUUCUGGUCUGUAACUGACGCUGAGGCGCGAAAGCGUGGGGAGCAAACAGGGAUUAGAUACCCUGGU
rnacentral:rRNA from 1 species